rnacentral:lncRNA from 1 species
CCCUCACGGCAUCCAAGCGCCAGCGGAGAGUAGCCGCCGGGUCCUCGUCCCAGCCUUCUUCUGGCUUAAAGGAGCCGCUACUUUUCCGUUGGAUCAGCUCCAGGAGCAACUUUGUCGAGAGCCCGGAAAUAGAAGGGUUAACGCACCGCUGUCCGGCGCUACCUUCUACCACCGCCCCCUUUACUCUAGGAGCACAUUACGUCAUCUCCCCAGUUGCCUCUUCCCUCCCCCUAGCUCUGGGUAGAAUCAUAGUACCCUAACAUUCUGGGAUAGGCUAUCCAGACCCUAAGUCACACUUAUCCCAUCCGAGACUUAACAGGGUCUUGAGAUCACCUGAGUAUUGUGAACAUUUUACAACUGGCCCUCAAUUUUGGGAAACCUCGAUCAUUCUAAGGCCUUCAGACAAGGUCAUUUGUUCAAUGGUCUCUCCAGGUGAGGCCCCACUCCUGCAGUCACCUCACUGCAUCAUCUUACAGGUAGUCGGUCACACUGCACACAAAGGUGCACGCUUCCAAGAACUUAUCCGAAGAAACAAAAAGAUUAGUGUUCCGAGGAAUGCUAUUAAGUACAUGUAUUCAAAGACAUUCAUCACAAAGUUCUCUAACGGGAAAACAGUAACACAGUAAGGCAUCAGGUACAUAAAUUACCUCCAAACAGUAGAAUAUCAGGGCAUCGUUAAAAAAAAGAAAUGCUGGAAUGGACAUCUGAGAAAGGACCUAAGUGUAUACUGAGAGGAAGAAGGUUUUCAUG